UUCCUUCCGUGUGAUACCGCUUCGGUAAUGAGCACUUCUGGAGCCGACAUCCGCUACAGUUUCCUUCGACUGUUCGUAUGAUUGUUGGAAACAUAGCAGAAGUCAGUGCCAUAGAUUACCCGUCGCCGUUGUACCCAAGGACGAGAGUCGAAUACCAGAAAGGGCCGCCGAGCAAUAUGAAGCCUGUGCUUUCCCUCUGUCUCUUUGGACUGGUGACAUUCCUUUUAUCCGAAGCCCAUGCUACGAAAGAUCACGGUCCAUCUGUCCCCACCUGCGGCCCUCAUGAGGUCUGGACGGGAUGCGGACAUCCAUGCCCAGAAAUCUGCGGGCAACCGCCUCCCCCUUUUUGUACGUUAAACUGCAUAAGGAGAUGUGACUGUGAACGAGGCUACAUACGAAUGGGUAGUGAGGAUGGACAGUGCAUCCCACGCUUCGCGUGCUUGAUUCACCCAGAACCUCACAAGGAUGACCGCCGCUAACUACCUGAGAAAGACCGAAGUGUAACUCGUUCACAAAUAAAGAGAUGAAAGCCUUUCCA